rnacentral:rRNA from 1 species
UUAAGCGACUAAGCGUACACGGUGGAUGCCCUGGCAGUCAGAGGCGAUGAAGGACGUGCUAAUCUGCGAUAAGCGUCGGUAAGGUGAUAUGAACCGUUAUAACCGGCGAUUUCCGAAUGGGGAAACCCAGUGUGUUUCGACACACUAUCAUUAACUGAAUCCAUAGGUUAAUGAGGCGAACCGGGGGAACUGAAACAUCUAAGUACCCCGAGGAAAAGAAAUCAACCGAGAUUCCCCCAGUAGCGGCGAGCGAACGGGGAGCAGCCCAGAGCCUGAAUCAGUGUGUGUGUUAGUGGAAGCGUCUGGAAAGGCGUGCGAUACAGGGUGACAGCCCCGUACACAAAAAUGCACAUGCUGUGAGCUCGAUGAGUAGGGCGGGACACGUGGUAUCCUGUCUGAAUAUGGGGGGACCAUCCUCCAAGGCUAAAUACUCCUGACUGACCGAUAGUGAACCAGUACCGUGAGGGAAAGGCGAAAAGAACCCCGGCGAGGGGAGUGAAAAAGAACCUGAAACCGUGUACGUACAAGCAGUGGGAGCCUCUUUUAUGGGGUGACUGCGUACCUUUUGUAUAAUGGGUCAGCGACUUAUAUUCUGUAGCAAGGUUAACCGAAUAGGGGAGCCGAAGGGAAACCGAGUCUUAACUGGGCGUUAAGUUGCAGGGUAUAGACCCGAAACCCGGUGAUCUAGCCAUGGGCAGGUUGAAGGUUGGGUAACACUAACUGGAGGACCGAACCGACUAAUGUUGAAAAAUUAGCGGAUGACUUGUGGCUGGGGGUGAAAGGCCAAUCAAACCGGGAGAUAGCUGGUUCUCCCCGAAAGCUAUUUAGGUAGCGCCUCGUGAAUUCAUCUCCGGGGGUAGAGCACUGUUUCGGCAAGGGGGUCAUCCCGACUUACCAACCCGAUGCAAACUGCGAAUACCGGAGAAUGUUAUCACGGGAGACACACGGCGGGUGCUAACGUCCGUCGUGAAGAGGGAAACAACCCAGACCGCCAGCUAAGGUCCCAAAGUCAUGGUUAAGUGGGAAACGAUGUGGGAAGGCCCAGACAGCCAGGAUGUUGGCUUAGAAGCAGCCAUCAUUUAAAGAAAGCGUAAUAGCUCACUGGUCGAGUCGGCCUGCGCGGAAGAUGUAACGGGGCUAAACCAUGCACCGAAGCUGCGGCAGCGACGCUUAUGCGUUGUUGGGUAGGGGAGCGUUCUGUAAGCCUGCGAAGGUGUGCUGUGAGGCAUGCUGGAGGUAUCAGAAGUGCGAAUGCUGACAUAAGUAACGAUAAAGCGGGUGAAAAGCCCGCUCGCCGGAAGACCAAGGGUUCCUGUCCAACGUUAAUCGGGGCAGGGUGAGUCGACCCCUAAGGCGAGGCCGAAAGGCGUAGUCGAUGGGAAACAGGUUAAUAUUCCUGUACUUGGUGUUACUGCGAAGGGGGGACGGAGAAGGCUAUGUUGGCCGGGCGACGGUUGUCCCGGUUUAAGCGUGUAGGCUGGUUUUCCAGGCAAAUCCGGAAAAUCAAGGCUGAGGCGUGAUGACGAGGCACUACGGUGCUGAAGCAACAAAUGCCCUGCUUCCAGGAAAAGCCUCUAAGCAUCAGGUAACAUCAAAUCGUACCCCAAACCGACACAGGUGGUCAGGUAGAGAAUACCAAGGCGCUUGAGAGAACUCGGGUGAAGGAACUAGGCAAAAUGGUGCCGUAACUUCGGGAGAAGGCACGCUGAUAUGUAGGUGAAGUCCCUCGCGGAUGGAGCUGAAAUCAGUCGAAGAUACCAGCUGGCUGCAACUGUUUAUUAAAAACACAGCACUGUGCAAACACGAAAGUGGACGUAUACGGUGUGACGCCUGCCCGGUGCCGGAAGGUUAAUUGAUGGGGUUAGCGCAAGCGAAGCUCUUGAUCGAAGCCCCGGUAAACGGCGGCCGUAACUAUAACGGUCCUAAGGUAGCGAAAUUCCUUGUCGGGUAAGUUCCGACCUGCACGAAUGGCGUAAUGAUGGCCAGGCUGUCUCCACCCGAGACUCAGUGAAAUUGAACUCGCUGUGAAGAUGCAGUGUACCCGCGGCAAGACGGAAAGACCCCGUGAACCUUUACUAUAGCUUGACACUGAACAUUGAGCCUUGAUGUGUAGGAUAGGUGGGAGGCUUUGAAGUGUGGACGCCAGUCUGCAUGGAGCCGACCUUGAAAUACCACCCUUUAAUGUUUGAUGUUCUAACGUUGACCCGUGAUCCGGGUUGCGGACAGUGUCUGGUGGGUAGUUUGACUGGGGCGGUCUCCUCCUAAAGAGUAACGGAGGAGCACGAAGGUUGGCUAAUCCUGGUCGGACAUCAGGAGGUUAGUGCAAUGGCAUAAGCCAGCUUGACUGCGAGCGUGACGGCGCGAGCAGGUGCGAAAGCAGGUCAUAGUGAUCCGGUGGUUCUGAAUGGAAGGGCCAUCGCUCAACGGAUAAAAGGUACUCCGGGGAUAACAGGCUGAUACCGCCCAAGAGUUCAUAUCGACGGCGGUGUUUGGCACCUCGAUGUCGGCUCAUCACAUCCUGGGGCUGAAGUAGGUCCCAAGGGUAUGGCUGUUCGCCAUUUAAAGUGGUACGCGAGCUGGGUUUAGAACGUCGUGAGACAGUUCGGUCCCUAUCUGCCGUGGGCGCUGGAGAACUGAGGGGGGCUGCUCCUAGUACGAGAGGACCGGAGUGGACGCAUCACUGGUGUUCGGGUUGUCAUGCCAAUGGCACUGCCCGGUAGCUAAAUGCGGAAGAGAUAAGUGCUGAAAGCAUCUAAGCACGAAACUUGCCCCGAGAUGAGUUCUCCCUGACCCUUUAAGGGUCCUGAAGGAACGUUGAAGACGACGACGUUGAUAGGCCGGGUGUGUAAGCGCAGCGAUGCGUUGAGCUAACCGGUACUAAUGAACCGUGAGGCUUAACCU